CAGUCGUACGCUUCUUUUUCCCCGGAGCUUGCUCCACCGGAAAAAGAAGAGUGGCGAACGGGUGAGUAACACGUGGGUAACCUGCCCAUCAGAAGGGGAUAACACUUGGAAACAGGUGCUAAUACCGUAUAACAAUCGAAACCGCAUGGUUUUGAUUUGAAAGGCGCUUUCGGGUGUCGCUGAUGGAUGGACCCGCGGUGCAUUAGCUAGUUGGUGAGGUAACGGCUCACCAAGGCCACGAUGCAUAGCCGACCUGAGAGGGUGAUCGGCCACAUUGGGACUGAGACACGGCCCAAACUCCUACGGGAGGCAGCAGUAGGGAAUCUUCGGCAAUGGACGAAAGUCUGACCGAGCAACGCCGCGUGAGUGAAGAAGGUUUUCGGAUCGUAAAACUCUGUUGUUAGAGAAGAACAAGGAUGAGAGUAACUGUUCAUCCCUUGACGGUAUCUAACCAGAAAGCCACGGCUAACUACGUGCCAGCAGCCGCGGUAAUACGUAGGUGGCAAGCGUUGUCCGGAUUUAUUGGGCGUAAAGCGAGCGCAGGCGGUUUCUUAAGUCUGAUGUGAAAGCCCCCGGCUCAACCGGGGAGGGUCAUUGGAAACUGGGAGACUUGAGUGCAGAAGAGGAGAGUGGAAUUCCAUGUGUAGCGGUGAAAUGCGUAGAUAUAUGGAGGAACACCAGUGGCGAAGGCGGCUCUCUGGUCUGUAACUGACGCUGAGGCUCGAAAGCGUGGGGAGCAAACAGGAUUAGAUACCCUGGUAGUCCACGCCGUAAACGAUGAGUGCUAAGUGUUGGAGGGUUUCCGCCCUUCAGUGCUGCAGCUAACGCAUUAAGCACUCCGCCUGGGGAGUACGACCGCAAGGUUGAAACUCAAAGGAAUUGACGGGGGCCCGCACAAGCGGUGGAGCAUGUGGUUUAAUUCGAAGCAACGCGAAGAACCUUACCAGGUCUUGACAUCCUUUGACCACUCUAGAGAUAGAGCUUCCCCUUCGGGGGCAAAGUGACAGGUGGUGCAUGGUUGUCGUCAGCUCGUGUCGUGAGAUGUUGGGUUAAGUCCCGCAACGAGCGCAACCCUUAUUGUUAGUUGCCAUCAUUCAGUUGGGCACUCUAGCAAGACUGCCGGUGACAAACCGGAGGAAGGUGGGGAUGACGUCAAAUCAUCAUGCCCCUUAUGACCUGGGCUACACACGUGCUACAAUGGGAAGUACAACGAGUCGCGAAGUCGCGAGGCUAAGCUAAUCUCUUAAAGCUUCUCUCAGUUCGGAUUGUAGGCUGCAACUCGCCUACAUGAAGCCGGAAUCGCUAGUAAUCGCGGAUCAGCACGCCGCGGUGAAUACGUUCCCGGGCCUUGUACACACCGCCCGUCACACCACGAGAGUUUGUAACACCCGAAGUCGGUGAG
rnacentral:rRNA from 1 species